CCUACGGGGGGCUGCAGUGAGGAAUAUUGGUCAAUGGGCGAGAGCCUGAACCAGCCAAGUCGCGUGAGGGAGUACUGCCCUAUGGGUUGUAAACCUCUUUUGUCGGGGAGCAAAAGCCGGACGUGUCCGGCUGUGAGGGUACCCGAAGAAAAAGCAUCGGCUAACUCCGUGCCAGCAGCCGCGGUAAUACGGAGGAUGCGAGCGUUAUCCGGAUUUAUUGGGGUUAAAGGGUGCGCAGGCGGAUUUUUAAGUCAGCGGUCAAAUCGUGGGGCUCAACCCCAUCCAGCCGUUGAAACUGGGGAUCUAGAGUGUGCGAGAGGUAUGCGGAAUGCGUGGUGUAGCGGUGAAAUGCAUAGAUAUCACGCGGAACCCCGAUUGCGAAGGCAGCAUACCGGUGCACAACUGACGCUCAGGCACGAAAGCGUGGGUAUCGAACAGGAUUAGAUACCCUGGUAGUC
rnacentral:rRNA from 1 species